GAGACAGGGGCAGCACCCCCUGUUUGCUGCCUUUCCAGGGAGGGCAGCACGAGAAAGAAAGAGGGAGGCAAGCGAAAUUCCUGAAUGGAUAGACAGAUGCUACGUCAUCGGAGCCGCAUCCUCCACUCCACAAGAGGCUAGGAGCCGGAGAAAGAGGCAGGCCAGCGGCAGGGGCCACCGAGCCAGCGCGCCUCCUCCCAGAAGCCGGAGCAGAGCAUCGGAGAAGAAGCAGCCUCAUUUGCUUCUGGUGUCAUCGAACCUUCCUGACCCAGGGAUUGAACUUGCCUCUCCUGCUUCUCCUGUAUCGGCAGGCAGAUUCUUUACCACUGAGCCACCUGGGAAGCCCUACUAGCUGCGUGGCCUUAGGAAAUUUCAUGAUCUUGCUUAUUCCUGUCUUGGAAAAUCCUUUCCAAUGUCUAACCAAGAUCUGUACUGCUGAAGUACCAGUUCUUUGACCUAUGGCUUGACAUGGCUGAUUUGAGAGGUACAGCUUCCCACCACCCAGGAAGGAAGGAACUGGCCUGGAUUUUGGCAACCUCUUGCUUGUACCAAAAAGAAGAACCUACUUCAUCCAGUUGGCUUCAGUGCCCUGUGAGAAGCCUUCCUGAUUGACGGAAAGAUGAGACUAAAUUCUAGCAAGUUGAGUGGCUCCUUCAAGAAGCCUGUGUGCAGGGUAGAAGUGGAGAGGCCAUAGCCUCCAGCCUGGGCAGCCCAUUGGCACCUGGAGCCACCUCAACUUUGCCUCCCCUUUGCUCCUGUGUCUAUAAGCUGCCCAGCCCAGCCCGUCCUGGUUUCUCCUGUGUCUUCUGAGCUGAGAUUUCUCUGAGAUGGAAGCCCCAUCCCAUGUCUAAUAAAGACUCUUGAAUACUGAAAAAAAAAAAAAAAA
rnacentral:lncRNA from 1 species